rnacentral:rRNA from 1 species
CCGGACCCGCUUCUGGUCGGCGUYGGUCACUGCGACUGGCCGGGUAGUGCAUUUGCAAGUGGAGUGCGCUGAGCGGUGCGGGGCAGCGGUCGGAUCCCCGACAAGAGGCUCCUCCUCGGAGGARAACCCUUCCGGGUGGAARACUGUUUGCUUUGCAUUCAUGGUGAGUGACGGCCUACGGACCCCCUGGCUUUCAUGGCUUCGGCUCGCGGCGGUCGCAUGCGACACGUGCUUGCUAGGGCUAUGUCGGUUGGGCGGUUCUCGUCGCUCGGCUCGGUGUCAGAGUUGGUCAUCUCUCCGACCCGUCUUGAAACACGGACCAAGGAGUUUAACGUAUACGCGAGUCAUUGGGCGGCAAACCCAAAGGCGCAAUGAAAGUGAACGUUGACAUGCGAAGCCGUUAAAGGCCGCAGCAUGACCCCGUCCCGAUCGCUUGCGAUGGGGCGGAGGCAGAGCGUAUGCGCUGAGACCCGAAAGAUGGUGAACUAUUCCUGAGCAGGACGAAGCCAGAGGAAA